GAUGAAGAACGUAGCGAAAUGCGAUAAGUAGUGUGAAUUGCAGAACUCAGUGAAUCAUCGAAUCUUUGAACGCACAUUGCGCCCCUUGGUAUUCCAUGGGGCAUGCCUGUUCGAGCGUCAUUUGUACCCUCAAGCUUUGCUUGGUGUUGGGCGUCUUGUCGUAUUACGACUCGCCUUAAAUACAUUGGCAGCCGGCACUUUGGCCUAGGAGCGCAGCACAUUUUGCGAUCGUAGCCCGUUGUACUGGCGUCCAUCAAGAACAUUUACCACGUUUGACCUCGGAUCAGGUAGGGAUACCCGCUGAACUUAAGCAUAUCAAUAAGCGGAGGA
rnacentral:misc_RNA from 1 species